rnacentral:rRNA from 1 species
AACGAACGCUGGCGGCAUGCCUAACACAUGCAAGUCGAACGAGACCUUCGGGUCUAGUGGCGCACGGUUGCGUAACGCGUGGGAACCUGCCCUUAGGUUCGGAAUAACUCCCCGAAAGGGGUGCUAAUACCGGAUAAUGUCUUCGGACCAAAGAUUUAUCGCCUUUGGAUGGGCCCGCGUUGGAUUAGCUAGUUGGUAGGGUAAAAGCCUACCAAGGCGACGAUCCAUAGCUGGUCUGAGAGGAUGAUCAGCCACACUGGGACUGAGACACGGCCCAGACUCCUACGGGAGGCAGCAGUGGGGAAUAUUGGAGAAUGGGCGAAAGCCUGAACCAGCAAUGCCGCGUGGGUGAUGAAGGCCUUAGGGUUGUAAAGCUCUUUUACCCGGGAUGAUAAUGACAGUACCGGGAGAAUAAGCACCGGCUAACUCCGUG